CUGGSUGCGCUGCUUACCRUGCGAGUCGAGCGGAKGAAKGGAGCUUGCUCCUGGAUUCARCGGCGGACGGGUGAGUAAUGCUUAGGAAUCUGCCUAUUAKUGGGGGACAACAKUUGGAAACGACUGCUAAUAUCGCAUACGCCCUACGGGGGAAAGGAGGGGAUCUUCGGACCUUUCGCUAAUAGAUGAGCCUAAGUCAGAUUAGCUAGUUGGUGGGGUAAAGGCCUACCAAGGCGACGAUCUGUAGCGGGUCUGAGAGGAUGAUCCGCCACACUGGGACUGAGACACGGCCCAGACUCCUACGGGAGGCAGCAGUGGGGAAUAUUGGACAAUGGGGGCAACCCUGAUCCAGCCAUGCCGCGUGUGUGAAGAAGGCCUUUUGGUUGUAAAGCACUUUAAGCGAGGAGGAGGCUCUUCUARUUAAUACCYARGAUGAKUGGACGUUACUCGCAGAAUAAGCACCGGCUAACUCUGUGCCAGCAGCCGCGGUAAUACAGAGGGUGCGAGCGUUAAUCGGAUUUACUGGGCGUAAAGCGUACGUAGGCGGCUUUUUAAGUCGGAUGUGAAAUCCCUGAGCUUAACUUAGGAAUUGCAUUCGAUACUGGGAAGCUAGAGUAUGGGAGAGGAUGGUAGAAUUCCAGGUGUAGCGGUGAAAUGCGUAGAGAUCUGGAGGAAUACCGAUGGCGAAGGCAGCCAUCUGGCCUAAUACUGACGCUGAGGUACGAAAGCAUGGGGAGCAAACAGGAUUAGAUACCCUGGUAGUCCAUGCCGUAAACGAUGUCUACUAGCCGUUGGGGCCUUUGAGCUUUAGUGGCGCAGCUAACGCGAUAAGUAGACCGCCUGGGGAGUACGGUCGCAAGACUAAAACUCAAAUGAAUUGACGGGGGCCCGCACAAGCGGUGGAGCAUGUGGUUUAAUUCGAUGCAACGCGAAGAACCUUACCUGGUCUUGACAUAGUAAGAACUUUCCAGAGAUGGAUUGGUGCCUUCGGGACUUACAU
rnacentral:rRNA from 1 species